GCCUCUCUUCAACCUUUUCUUGAGCAUUGGCGAGAGCCCUUCACAUGGUGCGGCGCUGGCAUCGUUGUUGGCGACCUCUGCGCGGUCGGAUCUGCAAAGGUUGCAGCUAGCGCGCCUACAGUACGUCAACAUGGUGCGGCAUCUCUUUUUGCAGAUCCCCAACUUGCUACGCCGCCGGCCGCCGCAUCGGAACUCCUUGCACCGCUUGCCUUUCUUCUCCCAUUCAACCGGCAAGCGUUCCCUGGCUCAAUAACGCAACUGGGGGAUGUCUGUCGCUAUCUCCAUAUAGGAAACGACAGAUUUAGAUUUUCAGGUGAUGCGUGGUCGGGAUCGCCGGAUCAAUCAAAAUAAGUGUGAAAUUUGAGAGGCCGUGGAACUUCCAGAUCGAGUAGUAUCCAUCCAGAUCGAUAUCCCAGAAGACCAAGCCUGGCCAUGAAACGCAUGCUACCCCGAUCUCUUCUUCACCUUUUCUUAUCCGCAGGUACCAACAAAAAAAGUGACCCUUUUGACGACGUAUUGCGUGGGCAAGGCAUGACAGUGCGACAAGAGAGAAACUAACAAAGAGCUCUGUUCGUUCUGCUGAUUGCUUAUGAUUCGACUCGCAGUGGCGGUAGCUGGGAGAGCUUGGGACUGGCCAGACACGACCAACUCACCACUGUAAUAAGACGACUUUUAUACAUAGCUGACAGUACGCAACCUCAGUUCAGGCGCAAGGUAAUUGUUUUGCAUGUCUAUGACGAGCAUCGUCACUUUUGGACCACGAAUCUUUUUUGUGUACUGAAACCUUUUCAGUUCUUUAUAUGUUU
rnacentral:lncRNA from 7 species